UUCUAUUUCGUUCGUAUCCUCUCUCUCUCCUCACGAAACCCUCUAUCGGCUCACGAUACACUCUCUCGAUCUCAUCCUCUUCUGAUAGUGUUGUACGCAGCUUUGUGUGUUCUUCCUAGAUUUUUUACUAAAAAUAUGUUCAGAAGUGAGGAAAGAGGGGAAAAGUACAUGUAUGACUCCCAAUUUCUUAUGAAAUCUGAAACCCAUCGGUUUGAUUUAGGGUAUUCAUCCGAAAAUUGUAAAAAUCUUCGGAUCUGAAGGUCUUUGUUACAGACUUGUACCUUAAGUUCAACGUAUGGAAUCUUAAAGACGACCGUAGACUCAACUACAGCGAAGGGCGGUUAUAUCCGACUGCAUAUAAGGUAAACUACUACUGAUCUUGUUCAAAAUUCCUACAUAUUUCUAUUUCCUACACACAAUCUAUACUAUUUGCGUAGUUUGUUAGGUCAUGAUUUGAGAAUUUUUUUUCAUAAACCCUAAUUUAUUAAAAUCACUAUGCUGUACAAUAAAUUCGAUUUUGAUAUAUAGACAUAGAAGGUUUAGGUUGUAUUAUCGUAGUUAGUUUGUUAAAAAUUGCAAAGCAUGCCAUAAAUAUUAUUGUUUAGACUUAUAGGAUGUUAAAUCACAGACAAUAUUUCUUACUACUAAUAGUUACAAAGUUUUGUGAUGUAGACAGGUACAUUACAAGGAUUUCACCGUUAGAUGAUGCUAAAAAAUGUGGUAUUAUUAUAAUACAAUCUAAUUACAUGCAAAAUAGUGAGGUAACCUACAGUUUACAUAAAAUUAGAAAUGAAUUAGUUUACCUGUACUCUCAGAUAUGUGCUUUCUUUUACUGCUUAUAGUUGUUGAAGUAAAUAUUUGCCUCAUAUCGUUGUAUGACUCAAAACAGUUUGGUUAGAUUGUGUUUGCAUGUACAGAGAAGUAAUACUAAAUGGGUGAUUUACACUUCUAUUUAGGCAAUAAUGAUGAGGCCAAAAAGUAAUGCUAUUAAUAUACUGACAAAAUGACUAUUCAUUUCUCAUUGAAUUUAAGACAAUGUGGUAAUUAUUUGUUCUUAAUUUAUUAUGCUUCCCAAGGUGUUGCUACUGUGAUAAGUUAUGCUUAAACUAUAACUGGGAAUAAACUAACAAAUGUCCUUCAAGUUGAUGGCAAAUGAUGAUUAAUCAGUAUCUGAUGCCAUUUGCAGAUACAGAACAUAUAAGUAUGGCCGUAAAUCGGCUCAUAUUGUCAUGUUGAGCUGAUGUAGUUAUAGUUACCAUUUCUGUAUGUCUAUAAGUGUGUAUUCUUCAAACUUAGAAUUGUACUUAGUUAUUUGUAUUAACAGAAUGGGAUUAGUUGACAUUUUUCGUUGUACAGCUUUUUGCAGAUGAUAACAAUAAUGUAUUGGUAUGGAAAACUUAUUAAAAUAGAUUGUAAUAGUUGUUAGAAUAAAUACAGUUGUAUAUUACAGUUAGUAUAUUGUUUCUUAUGUAUUGUUGAAUUUAAGAUGAGAUAAUUUCCUAUCUCAUCAAUAUUAGUUAAAUAUUUAUUUUAGCAAUUUCUAAAAGACAGUACUGGAUUAGUUUACACAAUGUGUGCAAGGUUUUACAAAAUGAUGUUGUAUUAUAUUGAAGAGCAGUAUUUUUUAUAACCAUCUUUAGUCUAAAAAAUUGUGUACUUUUGAUCCAACGCAGUAUUUUUGAUAGCCAUAUCAAGAUCAAGAUUUUUCGUAGGCAUAUGUAAGGAAAAUUGACAUUUGUGUUUACUUUAUAUAAAAAGAAGCAUAAAAAUGAUUAAAAUGGUAUGAUUAGUUUCAUCGUAUAAAGUACUUAGGCAUACUUGUAACCAAAUUUUUAGCUAAAGUAAUAACAAAUACUUCGAUUGCAAUGUAUUUUUAAUCCAAAAUACAGGUCUGCUUUUAUAACAUGUUGUGUAUAAAGUAUAAUAGUUGUAGUAUACAAAAUUUUUUUUCCUUAAACCCAAAAAUAUGUACGUAUUAUGUACAUUGAUUACCUAUCUCUGUUUCACAUAGUUAUGAAUAAAUUGGCACUUUCGUAUUUAAGUUGUAGCAUAUAAUUAUGUUUUCGUGCUACUCACGUAAUGAUUAUAUAUGAACUAAACUAUUCAACAUCUGAUGCAUGUUUAUUUUUUAAGUAAUGUGUAUCUGGAAUAAUUGAUCUGACUACUUAAACUCAUAACGCUAUAUGAAUUUCUUUCUAGAAAAACAGUUGUAAUCACUUGUGAUAGGUACUCAUAAACUUAUAUUUGUAUUGACUUGUGAAAGGUACUGCUACAUAAUUUGUUUUGACUUUAAGACUAUAUGACCUACUUGGUGGAGUUAUGUUUGAAUUACAUUUUUAGAACAUGACAUUAUUAUGUAUUUGGUGGAGUUAUGCUUGAAAUAUUUGAGUUAAAUACUUGAAUAGAGAUAGUAAUGUAAAGUUGAAUAACUAAUAUUUUAUUAAACUAUGUAAUUAUCAACAACUAAAUGUAAUUACAAAAAAUGUUAACACCCAAAAUCCUUACUUACACAUUGUAAGCAAGGAAUUUUGAUACUACAAACUAUGUACAGAACUGGGGCGUAACUUCAAUCACUUUUUGACUCCUUCAAAAAACUUCAAAUGAACCUGCAACAAUUUCCUUGCCUAUUGUCACUAUUUUUGCCCCUGCAAAAUAGUAUCCAAGCAGUACAUAUAGUUGUUAAUGAAAAUAGGAUCAGAUAGACUGUUUCAUACAGUCCAGAACAAUUUCCUUGCCUAAGGAAUAUGUUUUUCCCCCUGCAAAACAGUAUCUAAGCAGUACAUCUAAUUGUUAAUGAAAAACAGAUUAGAUAAUAUGUUUCAUACAAUCCAGAAAUUAAAAAGCGUUACCAAAAUAAGUUUAGGGUUGAAGUACUGCAAUUGUCUAGUACAGUGCUCCACAAAAACAUUGGAACAAAUUCAAAAAAAAAUGUUUUCAAGAAAGAAACAUGUGUCCAGAAUCAUUUCCAAGUAUUCAUUUCAUAUCUUCUCCUGCUUGACAGUCACUUCUUUCAUCUUUUUAGUAGUCUUGGAAGUGGAAAAUUGGUCCAUAAGACACUUCUUGACAGACUCAUAAUCUUCCUUGUCAACCGCUUUUCUCUUCCCUGUAUCAAUGGAUAAUGGACUCUAGACCUCAUCAUCUUUAGAUGUUUCCUGAAACAAUAGUAAAAUUACUUAAUUUUGAUGUAGGUAAGAGGUAGGAAAACUAAGUAACUAUUAAGGGACCUUGGGGUACAAACCUCUUCAGAUUCUGAAUCUUCAUCUUGAUCAUCUUCUAUCAUUUUUGACAUCAAGUCUUUAUCUUGAUGGUCCCUUAAAGAGCUGCAGUAGGUGUCAACUAACAAUUGAUCCCUUAAUACUCUUAUGACAUUAUAAGCAGAAUUAGGUCCCCUCAUAGUGUCCUUUUUCAAACCAAUCUUAAAUAUCAUAGCCAUUCCAUUGAGAAUCUCCAAUUCUGGGGGAAUCCGAAUACAGACCUAAAUAAGGAACUGAUUACUACACAAUUAAGCAAAAAGACAAUUAUGCUUAUAUUAUAUAUAAAGUGGCUCUUACCUUAGAGUAUUUUUUAUACAGCAAUGAUGCCAGAACACCUUCCAGUUCAGCAACCUCCCUAUCCCACAAAAGGAAGGGAGCAUCCCCUGUCUUAUCUAGGACCCUAACCAAAACUUUGUACCUAACAGUUCCUUCUACAUAUUGUCUUUUACACUUUGAACAGUGUAAAAAGCCUUCUUCCUCUGUUACCUUCUUGUUGCAACAUGCCUUCAUGAAAAGUAUUACAUAUACGCAAUAGUUUGAUAGUUGGAGGGAAAAAAAUUAGGAAUUAAGUCCGAGUAACACCUCUACAGCAUAAAAAAAUCAGACAAUGUACUAACAAUUACUGCACCACUCUGGAAUUCACAUGGACCAGUUGACUGGGACAACACAGUGGUAGUACUAAUACUCCUCACUGGAGAAGUGUUAGCAGCUAACCUAUAGGGAACAGAGGAAGAACAGCAGAGACAUGCUCAUCCCAUACUGUGCACUUCAAGUUGAAUUUGAUGAGGAAGGGAUGCUGUGUUGUCUUGUACAGGUAAUAGUUCUUGACUACCAAAAAGUUUUUGAUGGAAUAAAGCUUGCCCUGUUUAAAAAUCUCUCUAUAUUUGGAUACAUCAUCUUUUGUGGUAUUUGCAUUUAUAAAUUGUCCCUAUUUAACAACAAAGAUGCAGUAUUAAUAUUCACAUACAUAGUUAAUAUUUGUAUAAAAAGAUAUGUAAAUUAGUUUUUUUACCUCAGCAUCAUGGAACAAAAGUUCCAAACUCUUACUGGUUUGAGCCCCCUUUACUUCUGGUACUUCAUACAUCCUGAUCAAUCGUACUCUGAUUGAUCUCUUCCUAUGAAAAAGACUAAUCUCUUUUACAGAAACAUAUUGUGAAGGCAUUUUCGAGUACAACAAAGAAAGUACUGAAA